UACGUAGGUGGCAAGCGUUGUCCGGAUUUACUGGGCGUAAAGAGCGCGCAGGCGGUCGUUCAAGUCGCGUGUGAAAGCCCCCGGCUCAACUGGGGAGGGUCACGCGAUACUGAUCGACUCGAAGGCAGGAGAGGGUAGUGGAAUUCCAGGUGUAGCGGUGAAAUGCGCAGAUAUCAGGAGGAACACCGGUGGCGAAGGCGGGUCUCUGGGCCGAUACUGACGCUGAGGAGCGAAAGCGUGGGGAGCGAACAGG
rnacentral:rRNA from 1 species